rnacentral:rRNA from 1 species
UACGGAGGGUGCAAGCGUUGUCCGGAAUCACUGGGCGUAAAGGGCGCGUAGGCGGCCCGGUAAGUAGGGGGUGAAAUCCUGCGGCUUAACCGCAGGGCUGCCUUCUAAACUGUCGGGCUCGAGCACGGUAGAGGCAGAUGGAAUUCCCGGUGUAGCGGUGGAAUGCGUAGAGAUCGGGAAGAACACCCGUGGCGAAGGCGGCUUUCUGGGACGGUACUGGACGCUGAGACGCGAAAGCGUGGGGAGCGAACAGG